CCCUGAUCAGGCUAACUGGUCAGUGCGUGCAGAGGGCAAACACAGGUGGCUAACAUCAUUGUUGCAGAAAGCAACAAAUGGUGCCCUGUGUGAGGAUGCAGACUGUGUUCUGAUGCUCUCUGCGCUGCUGCGAGCUGUGGGGUGACGCCAUAGCAUGAGAUUUGGAGUGACGCCCAGCCCGAGUGCCCUGAAGAGAGGGGAGCCUGCAGAAGACGAUUGGGAUGACGCCCUGCAGAAGAUCGUGGCGAUGACGAUAGUGCCAACCGGCAAGUAGAACCUGUGUUGCGGUGGGGUCCGGGGGGACGACGGGAUGCCCACGGAGGACCUGUGUGGAUGACGGUGUCGAGUGUGAAUUCGCGGUGACGGCGAUGGGCUGACUAUGGAACACGUUCUUAAGUUUCUUGCAGGGGCCGAGAGGAGACAGAGCCGCCAAUGACUGUUGGUGAGAUGGCGCCAGCUGAGCCGACCGCGCUCAGUUCAAAAGAAGACAAACAACAAGAGAGUGGAUGCUCAUUGUCUUGUCCCCCUCCCCCGUAUCCGGACCCCUCAGGCGGAAUGUUGUAUCCUUUAUCAGAAUUACGUCAGUGUUACCUGACUCAAGGGGGCGGAGGAAGCUGUGAUCUACAUGGGCAGGAUCAACUUAGUGCCCACAUGGGGAGGGACCAGACGAAAGGUCCGUCCAAUGCGGACAGGGGGCAUAGCCUACCAUCUCUGGUCUCUCCCAGGGGUGGUAGUGCGAGUGAUAGUGUAGAGGAGGAAGAAGGGACUGGCUUUGAGUGCAGGGGGAAGGAUCAAAUGACGGACUGGAAUGGGAUUAGAUCGGAGGCUUUGGGGAAGGGUAUAGUUCCAGAGGCAUUCCCGGUGAUUGUGAGUGAUCAUGGUCCCGAAUGGAUGCUGUCUGACCCCGGGGGUGUUACGCGUCUGGUGGAAUUUAUGGAUAAAAGAGGCUUGAAAUUGCCUCUGACAUUAAAUGCACUACAAACUUUGGCUGCACUGGGGCCUCUUCUCCUCCCCUGUGACAUCACAAACUUAGUGUGUGUGGUGCUCAGGCUGGUUCAAUAUACGUUAUGGGAGACGGACUGGAUGGCUGAGUUGGGGGGCCGUGCCGGGGCGACAGGGGUCGGCCCGGGCUGCUCCCUGCAUGAGACCGGCAGCCAGCAGCUUUCAGGGAAGGCCGUGGGAGUGGCUUCUCCUCAGGGCCAGUUAGCGAAACUAAGACCAGGGGAGCUAAUAGCAGCCACAGAUGCAAUGGUGGAAGCGUUUAAUAAACUUGUGCAUAA
ensembl:lncRNA